GUUCGAGACCCGAACGGACAAUCGCGAACCCAUCAACGCUCCAGUGGGAGCGGAGGGAGGGCGAACAUUUCAACCGCCUGACCCACGCCGCCCCGGAGCCCCAUGGCCGCCCUCGCCCUGCCUCGCUGCAGGACAGGCGGCAAGAACAAUACCCAGCGCAGGACAGGCGGCAAGAACAAUACCCAGCGCAGUGGGCGCCAAGGAAUAGUGCAGACGGAGAGCGUCGCAUGCUAGUUCCGGCGUGCGGUGCGAUCCUUCCAUAUAUCUAACUUUUAUGACUCUCGACAAUAGAUAUCUUGGCUCUCGCAUCGAUGAAGAACGCAGCGAAAUGCGAUACUUGGUGUGAAUUGCAGAAUCCCGUGAACCAUCGAGUCUUUGAACGCAAGUUGCGCCCGAGGCUAUCCGGCCGAGGGCACGCCUGCCUGGGCGUCACGCCUAGCGUCGCUCCGCGCACCCUGCACCCCGAACCGGGGAGGCGGCGGGCGCGGAUGCGGAGAUUGGCCCCCCGUGCCUCGCGGCGCGGCGGGUCGAAGUGCGGGCCGCCGGCCGGGACGGACGCGGCGAGUGGUGGACGGACACGUACGGCGCUGAACGCCGCCUCCGCACCCGGCCCCGGCGGCGCAUGCAAGGAACCCAUGCCGAGCAC
rnacentral:rRNA from 1 species